rnacentral:rRNA from 1 species
GUGAGGAAUAUUCGUCAAUGGGGGCAACCCUGAACGAGCAACGCCGCGUGGAGGAUGAAGGCCCUUGGGUUGUAAACUCCUUUUCUGUGGGAAGAGGAAGGACGGUACCACAGGAAUAAGUCACGGCUAACUACGUGCCAGCAGCCGCGGUAAUACGUAGGUGGCAAGCGUUAUCCGGAUUUACUGGGCGUAAAGCGCACGCAGGCGGCUGUCCAAGUCUGACGUGAAAGCUCCUGGCUUAACUGGGAGAGGUCGUUGGAAACUAGAUGGCUUGAGGCGAGGAGAGGGGUGUAGAAUUCCCGGUGUAGUGGUGGAAUGCGUAGAUAUCGGGAGGAAUACCAGUGGCGAAAGCGACACCCUGGCCUUUGCCUGACGCUCAGGUGCGAAAGCGUGGGUAGCGAACGGGAUUAGAUACCCCAGUAGUCC